rnacentral:tRNA from 1 species
AAGUGGAAAGCAAAAUUUUGCUUUCAGUUUCGACCUGAAAAUUUGGUAUAAAUACCUCCACUUG